GUCGUAACAAGGUCUCCGUUGGUGAACCAGCGGAGGGAUCAUUACCGAGUUUACAACUCCCAAACCCAAUGCUCCC
rnacentral:rRNA from 1 species